rnacentral:rRNA from 1 species
GACGGGGGGGGCAAGUGUUCUUCGGAAUGACUGGGCGUAAAGGGCACGUAGGCGGUGAAUCGGGUUGAAAGUGAAAGUCGCCAAAAAGUGGCGGAAUGCUCUCGAAACCAAUUCACUUGAGUGAGACAGAGGAGAGUGGAAUUUCGUGUGUAGGGGUGAAAUCCGUAGAUCUCGGAAGGAACACCAGUGGCGAAGGCGGCUUCCUGGACUAAUACUGACGCUGAGGUGCGAAAGCGUGGGGAGCAAACAGG